UUCCGCAUGGAAGAAAGUUGAAAGGCGCUUUUGCGUCACUGAUGGAUGGACCCGCGGUGCAUUAGCUAGUUGGUGAGGUAACGGCUCACCAAGGCAACGAUGCAUAGCCGACCUGAGAGGGUGAUCGGCCACACUGGGACUGAGACACGGCCCAGACUCCUACGGGAGGCAGCAGUAGGGAAUCUUCGGCAAUGGACGAAAGUCUGACCGAGCAACGCCGCGUGAGUGAAGAAGGUUUUCGGAUCGUAAAACUCUGUUGUUAGAGAAGAACAAGGAUGAGAGUAAAAUGUUCAUCCCUUGACGGUAUCUAACCAGAAAGCCACGGCUAACUACGUGCCAGCAGCCGCGGUAAUACGUAGGUGGCAAGCGUUGUCCGGAUUUAUUGGGCGUAAAGCGAGCGCAGGCGGUUUCUUAAGUCUGAUGUGAAAGCCCCCGGCUCAANCCGGGGAGGGUCAUUGGAAANUGGGAGACUUGAGUGCAGAAGAGGAGAGUGGAGUUCCAUGUGUAGCGGUGA
rnacentral:rRNA from 1 species